rnacentral:lncRNA from 1 species
UGCUAGAAUAUCUCUGGAGGACUUCCUCCUACUAUCAAAAGCUUCUAACAAAGAUGACAUGCUGUCUACUCCUACCACUGGGCUCUCUGACUGAAAUAGUAUUGAACUCAGAUUCUCUCCCAUCGGUUGUUGAUCCAGAUCCCGAUUCGUAGCAUGAUAGUUCAAAUCGCUUUCUAUACUUGGCCAUCUCCUCCUGUCGG